GACGAACGCUGGCGGCGUGCUUAACACAUGCAAGUCGAACGGAAAGGCCCUGCUUUUGUGGGGUGCUCGAGUGGCGAACGGGUGAGUAACACGUGAGUAACCUGCCCUUGACUGUGGGAUAACUUCAGGAAACUGGGGCUAAUACCGGAUAGGAGCUCCUGCUGCAUGGUGGGGGUUGGAAAGUUUCGGCGGUUGGGGAUGGACUCGCGGCUUAUCAGCUUGUUGGUGGGGUAGUGGCUUACCAAGGCUUUGACGGGUAGCCGGCCUGAGAGGGUGACCGGCCACAUUGGGCCUGAGAUACGGCCCAGACUCCUACGGGAGGCAGCAGUGGGGAAUAUUGCACAAUGGGCGGAAGCCUGAUGCAGCAACGCCGCGUUCGGGAUGACGGCCUUCGGGUUGUAAACCGCUUUCGCCUGUGACGAAGCGUGAGUGACGGUAAUGGGUAAAGAAGCACCGGCUAACUACGUG
rnacentral:rRNA from 1 species